GUAGGUGAACCUGCGGAAGGAUCAUUAAUGAGUUGUCAUGGGGUUCGAUGCUGGCAGCCAGUUUUUGGAUGCAUGUGCUUGCCCUAACAAUCAUCUUCUUCCAAACACCUGUGCGCAUUUUUGAGGGAGUCUUGAGUUGGUUGCCGCUCUUGGGUGAUUUUCUCACAUUCCCUUAAAUCAUUAUACGCUAUUAACAAUGUUGAACGUGCUCUGUGCCGCAAGGCCAUUAAUAUAAUACAACUUUUAACAACGGAUCUCUUGGCUCUC
rnacentral:misc_RNA from 1 species